CAGUAAAGGAUUUAUGAACAGAGAACUGUCCUGUCCAGAAGUAUAACCAAGUGGGAGUUUGGGGAACGAGAAGCCUGAGUGCCAUCUGUCUGCCAGCUCUCUUCAGCCCACAAUUCUUUAUCAGGGUUUUCCAUUGUGUUUCUGGCUUCAUCUGUUGAAACAGAGAAUCUGAGAGGACAAGAACUCACCUAAGGGCAGACACAUCUGAAGAAGUGGACUGAAUCUAAAACAGGAUCAGAGCUCUGCCAGCACUUAAGCUGACAUCAAGAAGGGCUGACUGAGAAG